AAUCUAAAAGUAGAUGUAUGCAUAUUAUUCUCAAUCUUAUUAGGUUAUGAUGUGUUAUGGUUGUGACAAAGAUGGGUUAUGGUUGUGACAGAGCAUAUUUGUAGAUGCCUUGAUCAUAUGCUGAACAAACUGGAGAAGCUAUUCACAGCGUCUUGAUAUAAGAGAAGGAUCGGACAUACAGAUUAUGGUAAACGAUUGAUAUCUGACACUGCCACUUUUUGCAUAUAUAUAAAUAGUUGUUUUAAUAUUUUCGUUAUAUUUAUUGUUUUUUUC